rnacentral:lncRNA from 1 species
UGGGGAUUUUUCGGAUGAAGUUAGGAUUUCAAAAGUUUUGGGUUUCAAAUUGAUUUGGGGAUCUUUUAGUGUGUAGUUAGGGUUUAUAGAACCGAGUUACAAUCGACUGAAACGAUUUGGGGAGCUUGUGGUUUGUUCUUAAUCUUUGGUAACUCGAUCGUUUGUUCUCGUUGAUGUUUUGUUCUCAUUUGUUCUCGUUUUGUUCUUGUUUGUUCAGGUUAACCAAG